CGGUAAUGGCCGGGAUAG
rnacentral:tRNA from 1 species